rnacentral:rRNA from 1 species
AGAGUUUGAUCCUGGCUCAGGACGAACGCUGGCGGCGUGCUUAACACAUGCAAGUCGAACGGAAAGGCCCUUUCGGGGGUACUCGAGUGGCGAACGGGUGAGUAACACGUGGGUGAUCUGCCCUGCACUUUGGGAUAAGCCUGGGAAACUGGGUCUAAUACCGAAUACACCCUGCUGGUCGCAUGGCCUGGUGGGGGAAAGCUUUUGCGGUGUGGGAUGGGCCCGCGGCCUAUCAGCUUGUUGGUGGGGUGAUGGCCUACCAAGGCGACGACGGGUAGCCGGCCUGAGAGGGUGUCCGGCCACACUGGGACUGAGAUACGGCCCAGACUCCUACGGGAGGCAGCAGUGGGGAAUAUUGCACAAUGGGCGCAAGCCUGAUGCAGCGACGCCGCGUGGGGGAUGACGGCCUUCGGGUUGUAAACCUCUUUCACCAUCGGCGAAGCCUCUGGGUGUUCUCAGGGGUGACGGUAGGUGGAGAAGAAGCAC